AGAAUCAGUUUUCCUCUUGACAUGAAAGACUGCCACUGCGAACAAGUUUUGGGAGUUGCAUUUCGAGCUCAUAUUGUUCAUGCGUCUUAACUUUAUUCGGGAAGAAAAGGGGAAAAGUAGCACUGCUUCUCACAAAUUUCAUAUUCCUUGAGAUGUAAAACGACACCAAAUCGGUUACGACAAAUGCUAACCCCUGACGCAUGGUAGACAACACAACGUAGUUUUGUUGAAAAUUCUUUAGCAACUGACAAUUCCCGUUUCUCAGCCUUAAAAUUGCACCAAACCUCUCUCUCUCUCUGUAAACAUAAAUCCAUAAAAAAACCAGAGUGUUUUGAGGAGACGGUGAGGAUUUUUCUUUGGACUCUACGUGGGUUUUUGAUGAAUUGAAAAGGCAAGAAAGGAAUUUAGAAAUUUCGACUUGUUUGGUAAGUUCUUUCUACUGUUUUUCUUUACUCUGUUUUAUGUUUUGGUUAAUUUUUGCACUAUUUGGAUAGAAAUUCUUUGGUAUGAUGAAUUCUGUGUAUUUUGAGGAUAUUUUUUCGAGGCAUUUAAAGAACAAAUUAUAGAUCUUUUGUUGUUAAUUCUAGAAUUAAUUGUACGCACCGAUGUUUCAAGAAGAUGAUCGUCAUCUGUAACCUCGUCACCUCUUCAAAUGUUUCCGAUGAUGUCCCUUUCACCUGGUUUUAUGCCACCACAUUCAUGGCUGAAGGAACUUAAACCUGAGGAGAGGGGUCUAUAUUUAAUCC
rnacentral:lncRNA from 1 species